AGAACGAACGCUGGCGGCAUGCCUAACACAUGCAAGUCGAACGAGACCUUCGGGUCUAGUGGCGCACGGGUGCGUAACGCGUGGGAAUCUGCCCUUAGGUUCGGAAUAACAGUUAGAAAUGACUGCUAAUACCGGAUAAUGUCUUCGGACCAAAGAUUUAUUGCCUAAGGAUGAGCCCGCGUAAGAUUAGCUUGUUGGUGAGGUAAAGGCUCACCAAGGCGACGAUCUUUAGCUGGUCUGAGAGGAUGAUCAGCCACACUGGACUGAGACACGGCCCAGACUCCUACGGGAGCAGCAGGUGGGGAAUAGUUAGGACAAGUGGGACGAAAGCCUAGACUCCGAGCGAAUCGGACCGCGGUAGAGUGAA
rnacentral:rRNA from 1 species